rnacentral:lncRNA from 1 species
GUUUUGCUGGGAGAGAAAGAUGCAGAAAUCUUCUAGAAAGCACACUGUGAGAACAUGGUCUUACUGAAAUACAUGGGGCAAUGCAGAAAGGCCCUGGGAAGGGCCAGGACACGCUGUGUGUACUCAGUGGUACACAGCAAGGCUGUCUGCACCCCAUAAAAAUACCUGCAAGCCCUGGCCUUUGCUGCAAACACGUACCCAGAGCAGGCCCCCGCUGGGAACUGAUAUCUUCCUGCUUCACACAAGCUCACCUCCAAACUCCCAUCUGCCUUAAACAGUUACGUAGAGCUGAAAAGUUAUUGCCAUUAUGUUUAAAACACAAGCAAGACGAGACUAAAAUGAUCCUGCUAAUAUGUUAAAAGCAGUUCCCGACCCCUGCCAGCGUUCAACUACUCAUGAGGUAUUAAAAAUACAAAUACACAUGUUCAAAUAGAUCUUAAAAAUGGAACCUGUUACAAGCAAACGAGGGUGGCAUUGGGAUUAUUAUGAAAGUUUGGUUAAGGCCUUGACAUUUCUUUUACUCUUCUGUGACCCCGGAUUUGGUUUAGGUAGUAACUGUUCUCAUCCUAUUCCAAGAGCAACUGGCUCCCUGAGCUGGCCCACUAAGCCACAAGAGCAUCACCCAGGAAAAUGGUGAGUUACCCCACGUGGCAGCAGACUUCCCUCCUACCCAAACAGAGACAGACUGCUCCUCACUGGAGCACGAUAUGGUGAGAAGGACCCAAACACAGACUUCAUAGAACAGUCUGCACUCCAUUAAACACCCACGAACAGCUAUUUCAUCCUUGCCACAAAACAGACAUCUUGUCUCAGGAUGCUCAGGCUAACACUCCCUAGAGAGCUCCCCUCCACCUCCUCACUGAUAAUCCACACUGUCUGGUGUUUAGUCUUUGUAUUACCUCCAGUCUGGCAGCAUUCCCCUUCUGCAGGUCCCUGCAGGAGCAGCUAAGCCUGUCCCCAACCCUCUCAAGCCCACUGGCCAGAAAGUUGAGAUAUGAAACCCUACAGCCUCAAAGACAUUGAGGCAAGUAGGUGCAAUCCAUAUCCUUCGGCUUUGGGCACUGGAACAAGACAAAACCAACCACAGAAGCCUUGGCAAAUAGGAGAGAAAAAUCCACAU